CCUUCGAUAGCUCAGUUGGUAGAGCGGAGGACUGUAGAUCCUUAGGUCGCUGGUUCGAAUCCGGCUCGAAGAA
rnacentral:tRNA from 2 species